GACGAACGCUGGCGGCGUGCCUAACACAUGCAAGUCGAGCGGGGACUUAUCGAGGAAGUUUUCGGAUGGAAUUGGUAAGUUCUAGCGGCGGACGGGUGAGUAACGCGUGAGCAACCUGCCUUCUACUGGGGAAUAACGCAGCGAAAGUUGUGCUAAUACCGCAUGAGACCACAGUGGGACAUCCCAGAGGGGUCAAAGAUUUAUCGGUAGAAGAUGGGCUCGCGUCUGAUUAGCUAGUUGGUGAGGUAACGGCCCACCAAGGCGACGAUCAGUAGCCGACCUGAGAGGGUGAUCGGCCACAUUGGAACUGAGAAACGGUCCAAACUCCUACGGGAGGCAGCAGUGGGGAAUAUUGGGCAAUGGGCGCAAGCCUGACCCAGCAACGCCGCGUGAAGGAAGAAGGUCUUCGGGUCGUAAACUUCUAUCCUUGGUGAAGAUAAUGACGGUAGCCAAGAAGGAAGCCCCGGCUAACUACGUG
rnacentral:rRNA from 1 species